CAGUGUGCGAGCGAGCCAAUAGAAAAGCAUUUUGCCCCUCCUGCUUUACUGCAGAAUUCCGAGGCUUUCAGCCAGAAGCAUCGCGAGUCUCUAGGCUGAAAUUUUGUAGAAAUGGACGCACAAGGUAGAGAUCCUGCUACUACAUCUGCAGUGCAGGCCAAAUGGCUGUGAUUGGAACAGAGAGGAGAAACAUCCCUUUUUGACUGGAUCGGACAUACUGUAGGACUCAGAAUAUUACGACUGAAAAAGAAGACUUUCUUGUAGCCGGGCUUGUUGGAAAUAACCAAUGUUUAUGUGAACACAAGCAUAAAAAUAAAUCAAAAGAGAGGAAUGUGGGGGGAAAACUGAAGUGUAAUAGGAAUGAAACUUUAGAAGAUGGCAAAUCAGGAGUGAGUGGAAGAACAUGUAAAGUCUCCUAGCUAGUGUCCUCUCUGUCACUGUUAUGCUAUCCUCUCACACGCUUAACAUUUCAGCACAGGAGGGAUAUUGUCCUGCCCAAGUUAAAGCUCAUUCAGCUCAGUAAGUAUUUAUAAUUAACACCACGACUGUUAGAGAGAUGUAAGCUCACUCAGAAUGAAAUUUAAAGGGCAUGUUGGACUUCUCAUCCUUAUAAAUCAGAAAAAUGUAGAGACAGGUACAUGGAGUCAUUUAGAGGAAUGAUGCAACCCGAGCUGAUAGCAUUAAAUAUUAACCAUCACUAUAAA